GUCAGGUUAAGGUAGAAGGAAAAGCUUAUUGCCUGUAUCACUUAGUUUCCUGCCUAGCAAUAAAGGUACAAUGUUUAGCGAGAAAGAGGAGACUCCACCCAAAGUGGCGUACAUAUACCACCACUAUUGUAACCAUGUCUUUGUCUGUUCAGCUGGUUUAAGCUGGUUUAAGCUUUCAUAGUGUCCGUCGAGUUCUAACUCUGAUAAUUAGAACCUAACAGUUGGCGCUGCAAGCAGGAUUCACCAUGAUUUAUAGUCAAACCAGAGUCCAGAUCUGUGGAGCAGGAGCUGGCAACAAACAAGAUUGGGUCUGCUGGAUUGUUGGGAUUCCCCAUGGGUUAGGGUGUUAACUCCCCUGAUCUGGUAACUCUUCCGAGAGGUCGCCAGAAAAAUAAGGGAGUAUGAACUAAUUUUGAAAAUGGUUUCAACAGUAACAGUAAGUUGUUAUGCUUUGACAUUUGUCAUAGAGAUAAUGAUAAGAACAUUUGGAAUGUAACAAUUUGUCAUAGUCAAUGCUUGUCUGGAUUUCCUGAAUCAGAAUUAAUUUAACUGAACUGUUGUUCUGAUCUGUCCUCUCUUGAGGUUAUCAUGGAAGGUGACGUCAGAUCGUGUCUUUAUGCAUGGUAGGAAUAAUUUGACCACAAACACUGUGUGAACCUCAAAACCCUCCCUAACCGGCUGAAGACAGAGCAACAAAGGCGUUCAAUGCGACAGUGACUUAACACUCCAAUCUGAGUCCGAGCCAUUAAUCUGGGUACGGGCGGCAGGAGUGCGCCAUGAGUCCUGAGACUGCGCAUGUGGAGUGAGCAUGGAGAGAGAUCCCAUUCAAACUUCUUUCAUGCUCCUGGUGUACUGGUGGGAAAAAUGGAUGAGACAAUGUUGGUAGCUCAGGUGAGAGACUUGUGUACUUGGGAAAAAUAGAUGUAUUUAUUUGGAUAUUGAAAAAAAACACACAAAACACAAAAAAAAAAAAAUAAAAUCGGGACAUUACCAUGGGCCAUCAAAUGUAACAGGCAAGAGUUACUUGUGCCGUUGGGAAGAUGAACUGUAACGCUAUCUGAAGACACGCUAGAAUGAUAAGUGCAGGAAGAAAAGGGGGGGGGUCAAGCAUGCCCGUUAUUGUUUAAUUGGGCUAUCAGGUUUACGGAGGAAGGUCUAACAAAAUGUAUCACAGUUUUCGAGUUCAGUUUCACAUAAAAAUGCUUUAAUUAAAUGCAUUAUGAAAUAUGA